rnacentral:rRNA from 1 species
UACGUAGGGGGCAAGCGUUGUCCGGAAUCAUUGGGCGUAAAGAGCGUGUAGGCGGCCCGAUAAGUCCGCUGUGAAAGUCCAGGGCUCAACCCUGGGAUGCCGGUGGAUACUGUCGGACUAGAGUACAGAAGGGGCAACUGGAAUUCUCGGUGUAGCGGUGAAAUGCGUAGAUAUCGGGAGGAACACCUGCGGCGAAGGCGGGUUGCUGGGCUGAUACUGACGCUGAGGCGCGAAAGCCAGGGGAGCGAACGGG